GGGGUUGUGGCUCAGCGGUAGAGCACUCACCUAGCAUGUGUGAGGCCCUGGGUUCGAUCCUCAGCACCA
rnacentral:tRNA from 1 species